rnacentral:lncRNA from 1 species
GGAAGACCACGUUCAUCUGAGCCAGCAACGCCGGCUUUCAGGGGAGCCCCUGAGACCUGGUGCCCGCAGCUCACAGAUUCAGGCUGGCUCACUGGGGCUGCCCCUGUGCCCAUGAUGGGGAUGGGGAUGCCGAGGCCCAGUGGAAUCUCCCAGGCCCAGGAUGCCGGUAGCAAUGGCUGUCCUUGCCCCAUGCUCCAGGUUUGCUAGAAUGGCUCACAGAGCUCAGGAAAACACUGCCAACAGCCACAUGGAGGGAGAUGCUGAAGGCAGGGUGUGGAGAACAGCGCCGGGCGCCCAUGCCCUUCUCCAGAUGUGCCCCCUCCCACACGCCAUGUGCGGUUUCGGGGUGUUUAUGGAGGUUCCGUUAGCAGGUUUUUGCCAGGGCAGUUCUUCAUCUCUCCUGAUAACGGACGUCUUCAAGUCUCAAGACUCUUCCAGCGACCACCUCCUCCCAGCAACCUGCCCGGUCAGACCCUACUUCUGAGUUGGCUCGGGCUAGGGGUGCCCCAGUCUCCUUCCGGCUCCCCCACACUGGAGUCCCUUGAGGACAAAGCCUGGAACCGGAGCCUUGGAGCCCCCAACCUCCAAGGCCAGGCCCUGACCAUGUUUCCUGCGAGCGUUCCCAACUAUCCACCUUUUGGGUCAGCUCCAGUGGUGGAAACUUUCCAGCCGGAGGAGGCCGCUUGUUUUGGAAAGUUCCUGGGGGAGCCGCCCCCGCCCGCCCGCCGGGUUCCCACGCUCCCUUAUCACUGGGUGCUAGGGGGGCGCAGUGCUGUGCCUGCCUAGCUCCUCCCCAGCUGACCUCCUUGGCCCUGCCCCCUCCCUUCCCCUCCUCUCCCCACCGAACACUGGCCCCCUUCAGCCAGGCCCUGCCAAGCCCUCCUGCUACAGGUAGGGAAACCCAGGCCUCGCAGCGCCGCCUACACACUCCGUGUGAGCCCUGUCAGGCGUGCCUGGUGGGGUAGUCCCGCUCAGGAAGGGGGAGCAGAGGCGGCCGCUGCUGGGGGAGGGCCUGGCUGUGGAGUCUGAGCCCCGGCUCAGUCUUUGGCUCCAGUUUGCGCUGCAGUGUCUCGGACCCAGGUGCCCAGCCCUCCUGCCCAGCUCCACCUCCUGCCUGGUGGCUGGGCCUGGCGCUCUCUUC